rnacentral:tRNA from 1 species
CGGGGUGUGGCUCAGCCUGGACUAGAGCACUCGCUUGGGGUGUGAGAGAUCGGAGGUUCAAAUCCUCUCACCCCGACCA